rnacentral:rRNA from 1 species
UACAGAGGUCCCAAGCGUUGUUCGGAUUCACUGGGCGUAAAGGGUGCGUAGGCGGUUUGGUAAGUCUGAUGUGAAAUCUAUGGGCUCAACUCAUAGUCUGCAUCGGAAACUGCCGGGCUUGAGUGUGGGAGAGGUGAGUGGAAUUCCCAGUGUAGAGGUGAAAUUCGUAGAUAUUGGGAAGAACACCGGUGGCGAAGGCGGCUCACUGGCUCAUUUCUGACGCUCAGGCGCGACAGCGUGGGGAUCAAACAGG